UACGGGGGGAGCAAGCGUUGUUCGGAUUUACUGGGCGUAAAGGGCGCGUAGGCGGUCAGCACAAGUCAGUUGUGAAAUCUCCGGGCUUAACUCGGAAAGGUCAACUGAUACUGUGCGACUAGAGUGCGGAAGGGGCAACUGGAAUUCCGCGUGUAGCAGUGAAAUGCGUAGAUAUGCGGAGGAACACCGAUGGCGAAGGCAAUCCCCUGGACCUGUACUGACGCUCAUGCACGAAAGCGUGGGGAGCAAACAGG
rnacentral:rRNA from 1 species